rnacentral:rRNA from 1 species
UACAGAGGGUGCAAACGUUGUCCGGAUUUAUUGGGCGUAAAGAGCGUGUAGGCGGCCGUACAGGUCAGCUGUGAAAACUCGAGGCUCAACCUCGAGACGUCGGUUGAAACCGUACGGCUAGAGUCCGGAAGAGGAGAGUGGAAUUCCCGGUGUAGCGGUGAAAUGCGCAGAUAUCGGGAAGAACACCCGUGGCGAAGGCGGCUCUCUGGGACGGUACUGACGCUGAGACGCGAAAGCGUGGGGAGCGAACAGG